CUGAAGCAGUACUAGUAGUAGUAGUAGUAACAGAGGAGGUAAGUAUAACAACCGGGGAGAAGAAGAGAAGCAAUAGUAGUAGUUAGUAGAAGAAAAGUAGUAAAAAUCGCAACUUUACUAGUUAAAAUGGAGAAUAAAAGUGGCAGCAGCAGGUUGGUGAAGGAGCGAGCUCGGCAGGGUGAACCGGCGGGAAGGGCGCUCAGGCGAAACUCCGGCGGACGACGAGGAAGGACGGCGCUGCGGGCGCGGGCGCGAGCGCGAGAAGCCGACCCAGACCCACAGCGUCUUCUGGGAGACUUGGCGGCCGGCUCACGCCGCCAUCAGCAUGCCCCGCUUGAGGUCGACGCCGGCGUCGCAGGCGGGGGCGGCGGCGGUGGAGAAGAUGGGAGGAACGCGAAAGGAGAAGGAGGUUUCGACAGGAUCUAAGGAUUUGGGGAAGAUGGAAGCCUUGCGGGUCGGAUUGGCAGAUCUCCGGAGCGGAGGCUUAAGGCGAACCCACUAUCCGCAGGAUGAUGGAUAGUGCGGAGAAGGCGGACCCGCGACCCGUUCGUCCGCUUACCCGCUUAUCAUGCAAUUUCGGACCGAGCAAGCCAGCGAAGGCCCAGUCCGCGAGCGAAUUCCAGCCCAGCCAGCCGAAUUCCCAUUUUUACCUCUUUUGCAGUUUAGCCCCCCAUUGGAUAGUUUACUUUAAUUUCAGUACUAAGUUGUAGAGAGUAUAUAUACAAGAAUGUAAUUACAACAGGAUUAUGAAUGAAAUGAAUUAGUCUAUUUUCUCCCCCAAAAGUUCUUCUCCAAGCCCUUCUUCUUCUCCACUAUUUCUCUCCCAAUUUCUUAUCCCACUCUCCUCUAUCUCUAUCUCUAAUCUCUAUCCCUAAUUCUCUAUCUCUAUCUCUAUCUCUUUUCUCUUCUCUCAUCUCUAUCCUAAUUCUUUACCUGAGUUUUACCAGAAUUGCGGCGGCAACGCUAGUAGUAAUCCCCCUCAUCCCCGUCGCCGUCCUUGCCUCAGCGAAUCCUCAUCACA
rnacentral:lncRNA from 1 species